rnacentral:rRNA from 1 species
UACGUAGGCAGCAAGCGUUGUUCGGAAUUACUGGGCGUAAAGAGUGUGUAGGCGGUGCUCUAAGUUUGGUGUGAAAUCUCCCGGCUUAACCGGGAGGCUGCAUCGAAUACUGGAAUGCUAGAGGGUGGGAGAGGUAAGCGGAAUUCCUGGUGUAGCGGUGAAAUGCGUAGAUAUCAGGAGGAACACCUGUGGUGUAGACAGCUUACUGGACCACUUCUGACGCUGAGACACGAAAAGCGUGGGUAGCAAACAGG